CCCUUAGAUGUUCUGGGCUGCACGCGCGCUACACUGAAGCGUUCAACGAGUAUUCACCUUGCCCGGGAGGGUUGGGUAAUCUUUUGAAAACGCUUCGUGAUGGGGAUAGAUUAUUGCAAUUAUUAAUCUUCAACGAGGAAUUCCUAGUAAGCGCGAGUCAUCAGCUCGUGCUGAUUACGUCCCUGCCCUUUGUACACACCGCCCGUCGCUCCUACCGAUUGAGUGUUCCGGUGAAUAAUUCGGACUGCGAUUGCGUGGGGACUCCUCAUGCUGUUGCGGAAAGUCUAGUGAACCUUAACACUUAGAGGAAGGAGAAGUCGUANCA
rnacentral:rRNA from 1 species